GGGGACUCGGCGGCGCGGCCGGGCUCGGGUUCCCGGCUGCAGAGCGAGAGCCGGCCGGGCGGGGGCGGGCGCCUCUGCUGUGAAAGCUUAGUUAGAAAGCUGCCCCUGCAGAAAAGUCAGGGAUGAAUCUCUACCAUUUUCCUUUUAACAAAAUUGUGUGCACGCAGUUCUUCCAUUAGCUCCUUGAAGGCGGAGAUAGUAUGCAUCACAGCUCUAAAAUCUUAGGACUCUAACUUGCAUUCGGCUUAGAAUUUACUAACGGCAUGGUCUACUUUGUUUUUUAAUACUUUUGAAAUAUGAAAGUAAUCUAAAACCUAGAGGAAAAAGUUGCAACUACAGUGCAAAGAACACUUAAAAAAUCAUUUGACAAUAAGAUACCGACGAGAUGCUCCGAUACAACCAUUAAAAUCAGGAAAUUAACAUUGAUAAUUUACUACAUCUAGUGCCCAAACCGCAUUCAAUCACCGGUUGUCGUUGGUAGUAAAAAGCUCCUGUUCAGAAUAACGUAUUGCAUUUCCUGUCACAUCUCCUUAGGCUUCUUCAAUCUGUAACAAUUCCUCGGUGUUUCUGACUUUCAUGAUCGGGACACUCGUGAAGACGACAGGCCAAUCAUUUUGUAGAAUGUCCCUUUGUCAGUUUGGAUUUGUCUGAUUAGAUUCAGGUUGUGUUUCUGUAGCAAGAGAAUCACAGAAGUAUCACAUUGCAUCCUCUAGGUGGAGUGAUUUUGAUGUGUCCUGUUAACUGAACUUAAUUCGCUUGAUUAAGCUUUUGCCGGGCUUCACCACUAUAAAUUCACUCUUUUUCCCUUUGUGAUUAAUACAUAUUUUGGGGGGAAGUGCUUUGAACCUAUAUAAAUAUCCUAUUACUCAUCAAACUUUCCAUUUUAUUCAGGUAUUUAUGGAAUCGUAAGUAAUCUAAGUAUGCACUUAUGGUAUCCUAUUUGAAUAAAUGGUUACAAUCCAUUCUAUAUUUGUUUGAUGCUCCCGGUGUCCCAGAUUUGGCCAGUGGGAAUCCAUUUAAGCUGACUUUUGACAUGUCUUCGUCAUCCUUUAGCACUUCCUUACUUCCUAGUCCAAAAUAUUCCAUGCUUACCUUGUAUUUUCUAUAACCCAGCCCUAGAAUCAGCCAUUUUCAAAAGAUCCUUGGUUCUCUUUAGCAGAGAAUGGUAAUUAGAAACCAAGACCUCAGUCUAGAUGUGCCCAUUCUUUUGAUGUGUUACUGAUCCUAGGCCAUCUGAGUGAACAGAAUUAGGGACUGUGUAUGUAUGUGUGGUGUGUGUGUGUGUGUGUGUGUGUGUGUGCACGCACAUAUUUAUAUUUAUCUACUCUCUACUUAUAUUUAUAUCCAGGAGUUUAUAUCAACACCUCCAAUUCUGAUGCACCAUGGUAGAUUUUGUUUUAGUUUUUCUAUCCAUAUUUGUAAUUCCCUAAGCUUGCCAAUGUAAAAUUUACCUUGCUUGAGCCUAUCUAAUGGCUUUAGAAUUGAAUUGUUCAAGAAGGGAAGGAAAGAGGAAAAGAAAGAGUGUCUAAGUAGUUUGGAAAUGAGCAUCCUGCCAGCAUCUGAGAACCGGCAAUGAGCCAGUCACUGUUAGACACUUGGGAUGUGCAGAUAAAAAACCCAGCAUCUGUCUCACAGAGCUCAGUUAGUGAGGGAUAGAUUUUAAUGAGCCACAUUUAUAAUGACAAAAUAUGAAUUAUGUCCAAGAUGCUAAAGGAGCAGUGUGGGAAGCCCUCUUUCCCAGAGUGUCAGCUUUAGUUGGGAAUGAAAGGAAAAGAAGUAGGGCUCUGGGAGGGAGGGAGAGAGGGACAGGUGGGGUAAGCCAUCUUGAAACCAUGCUAAGUAUGGUCUCUGAAGUCCACUACAGAAUUCAAAACAAGAAGCAACCUGAUUAGUGUUGCAUGUGGAAGUUUCUCUAUCGACAUAGAAACUCUUGGUCUGUCUGUAUAGGUUUGGAAGAGGGGGGCAUAUUGAAUUGGAAGGAAAUAUUUUUGAGUGAAGAUUACUUAAUUCAGUCCAUAGCCAAUUCAGCUGAGCUCAGUGUCCCUCUCCCUUUCUCCUUAAAGGCCAAGCAAGAGAAAAAAAAACCAUAUUGAUUUGAAGCCUUUCCAGCCUGAGCAUAGGGGCUUGUACAAAUUUAAGUGUUCGUCUUACUAUGUUGGAGUGCAAUAUGGAACAGUACUACCAAGAAUAGGGAAAGAGUAGUAUGGAGUUUUACUUUGUUUCUUUGAAACUAUAUUGUAAGUCAAGCUUCUAGUUUGUAUUAACCAGUUACUGUGCAUUAGCAGAGAUGGUAAAAGACUCAUGAGUAUUCUUCUUAAGAUUGUUGAAAUUCUGCCACAUUACUCUGAGAUGCCACAAAGAGGGAUGAAAUGAUGUCUGAAGACUGCUGGUCUAGAAACAAGAGAAUCUAUUAGAUAGAUCCUAGGGCACUGAAUCACAAGUUUUCUAUUGAUUAGUAUGUAGGGCCUACUUAACCACAAUCUUCACACACUAAUUUAGGUGGAAUCUUUUACUUUACUAUUUCCUUCUCUGCAUAAUGUUUUAUCACUGGUUUUCUCUGAUUAGCAGGAUUCUCUAACUGAAUUUUGAUUUACCGCAGCAAACAUGAAGAAUACAAUCAAUUUUUAAACGUUCAAAUCACAUGGUGACUCAGUAGAAAGAACCCAGGCUUUCGGAACGGGCGUCCUGGAGUGCUGUGGAGGGGCGCACAGGGAAGCACCAGGGUGAGUCAAGAAGCAGAGGAAGCGAGGGGAAAGGAGGGAAAAACCUUCAUUGUGGUUUUCAUGGGAAGGAAUGGGUGAGGCAGGCUAGGGUGGGCCUUCUCUGAUUAGAAGAAUCAGGAUCCAGAAGCCCAAGGAGGCAAACACGAUACAUAAGGUCAUUUUCUGCUGUGUGCACAGAGAAGCAAGACCAUCUGAUGUGCAGAGAGAGAGAUGGAGGAAGCCGAUGCAGAGAAAAGCAGAG